rnacentral:lncRNA from 10 species
CUGCCCCUGCCUAGCGGAGGAGACUGGGACUCCCCACAUCUCUCUGUGUUCCCAGAUUGAGCCGGGCAAGAUCACAUCUGACAUCUGCACAUCUCAGCGCCCAGCCCCUGCCUGGCUCAGAGUGAAGUGUCUUCCAAUCCAUUGAAAUUUCUAGUCCCGGGGUCUCGAGGACACUAGGGCCACUGUGCAAUGGCAGAAGGAGCAUUGCCAUAGAAGUCAGGGGGCCUGGUUACAAGUCCUGACUUUAGUUGAGGACCUGCCAUAUGACCUUGAGCAAACUGCUGUACUUCUCUGGAUCUCAGUUUCUACAACCUAAUUCACUGGGCCCAGCCUGCAGCCUGCAAGCACCGGAUGAGUGGACGUGGCUGAGCAGCCAUGAGAAAGAUGUGGGGCUCUCCGGUGACUGUAGACCCAGCAUAAAUCAACAGUUCAAGGUGCUCAUCCCCAAAGCCAUGGUGAGACCUUAGCUGCUGUAAUAAAAGUGUAGUGCCAAAGUAAGGGCA